ACUUUCAAAUAAAGUCGCUAGGAACAGCGGAGAUCCCAAAAAUCGCUCAGUCUCCUGGCGCUGGUGGCUCUGGUCGCCGCCUGCUGCGCGUCUCCGCAGGGCAUCACGUUUGGUGGCGCCGCCCAGCGGACGGCCACCAGACAGAGGUUCCGGCAGCGACCGCGGGGCGGCGCCACCACCGACACCCGGAUCGGGCUGGUGGGCGGCCAGCUGGGGAACCUGGACCCGGUGCCGGGCUCCGACUACCCGUCGCGGAUCGCCAACGGGAACCAGCAGCCGGCGCAGACCAGCCAGCAGCUGCUGCAGCAGCCCGACAACGUAUACGACGGGCAGUCGAACGGUCGUGUUUCGAAGAGUAGCGACUGCUACUGUUCCUUGAUCGGCGAAUGUCCUCACAACGGCGGCUUUGACGGCGCCGGACUGAUCGACAUCCGAAUUGUCAACACCAGGCCGACGGUGGUGAACGGUCAGCUGCAGUGCAGCAGCGAGUACCAGGAGCUUUGCUGUCCACCCAGCUCCGGCUCCGGCUCCGGCUCCGGCGGCUCCGGCUCCGGUGGUUCCGGACAGCUGGUGUCCGGCUGUCCGGCCGCCGCCGGACACAACCAGUGCGGACAGCGGCAGCUGAUCCCGGUGCCCGGCUACACCCUGAAGCCGGCCGAGACGAGCUUCGGCGCCUACCCGUGGGUGGCCACCAUCCUGCGCGAGGGCGACGUCUUCAUCAGCUCCGGGGUGCUCAUCAGCGACCAGUGGGUGCUCACCGUGGCGCACCACGUCAACAAGUACAGCAACAACUACUCCGGCCUCAAGAUCCGGUUCGGUGAGUGGGACGCCAGUGACCCGAACCACGAGCCGUGCGCGCACGAGGAGCGCACCGUGUCGCGUCUGAUCGUGCACCCGCAGUUCGACUCUGGCAGUCUGGCGCAGGACGUGGCGCUGCUGCAGCUCUCGCGGCCGGUCUCCGUGUCGGCCUACCCGCACAUCGGCGCCGCCUGCCUGCCCGCCGGCGGCCAGAGCUUCGACUACCAGCGCUGCUGGGUGGCCGGCUUCGGCAAGGACGCGUUCGGCCAGGGCGGCCAGUACAGCUUCAUCCAGAAGGAGGUGGACGUGCCGGUGGUGCCGCACGACCAGUGCCAGCAACAGCUGCGCCAGACGCGGCUCGGCGCCGGCUUCCGGCUCAACGGUCGGGCCUUCCUCUGCGCCGGCGGCGAGCAGGGCAAGGACUCGUGCGAGGGCGACGGCGGCGCGCCGCUCGUCUGCCAGGGCGGCGACGGCCGCUGGACCGUGGCCGGACUGGUGGCCUGGGGCAUCGGCUGCGCGGAGGCCAACCGGCCCGGCGUGUACGUCAACGUGGCAUCGUACGUGGACUGGGUGCAGCAGCAGACCGGCUACCUGGGCCGCUGAGCGGGAGCGGCGGCAGUCCCGGACCGCUGAGCGGGAGCACGGACCGGCUGCCUGGGCCGCUGAGCGGGAGCGGCGGCAGACCUGGACCGCUGAGCGGGAGCGGCGGCAGUCCCGGACCGCUGAGCGGGAGCACGGACCGGCUGCCUGGGCCGCUGAGCGGGAGCGGCGGUAGUCCCGGACCGCUGAGCGGGCGCGCAGUGCCGGGGAAUCGGCGGUCAGUCGCACCCCGGCAGUGUUCGCCACCGCCAGACCUCGGUACCCCGGCCCGGUCUGAGCUAGCCCGCUUAGUUAGAUCUUACAGGCGCAGUGACCGAUUUUAUAAAUAAUGCGUACGGCAUAUGCAACUUCAAACCAAGUGUCUUUAUCAGUUGUAUAGGCACACUUAUCAUCCACGAUGUUUUUCCUUCAUGAGGCUGUAUAACAUGUAUCGGCUGUAUAAGGUGAACUUCGCGACACGAUUGGCAUACGAUGAUCGUCAGUAGGUACCAUAGAGUAGGUACCCAUAGUUCGGUGGAACUCGAGAUGGGCCGUGCGAGGGCCAGUCCGUUGACUUUUUCAAUGUGAAUCAUUGUCAGUGCAGUACAACACGCAAAACUGCUGAUACGGGAAGGUUUUACCUGCUCGCAACUUGACUAAUACAUUCAUAACCGUGUUUUAACAAAAA
rnacentral:misc_RNA from 1 species